AAGAUUCUGCUUUUUCAUUAAUUUUUUACACCCACACAAAAGGUACAUAAUGAUAAUUAUCCCUCACUAGAUAUAUAGUUAUGAGGAAAGUACAAGAAUGAACAAAAUAAUAAUCGUAACAAUAAAGCAAACUUUUGCAUGGCCAGUGGCUAAUUAAAAUAUCCCCAGACUACCAUUAAUUCAUGUAGCUUAAGCACAAAAUGGAACCCCAUCAAACUAGCUUUUGCAGUUCCAUUGAUCACCAGAUUGUAGCUUUUGGUGAUCAGAAUCUGCGCCGGCCGAUGAAACCUUAGCAGAGUGACUCUUCUUUGACACCCAGAAGAAACACCCACUUGGGAUUUCCUUUUCAUCAUCAGCGGUACUGCCGAUCUUGGAAGCUUUCUGUUUCUCCAGUUUCUUCAUUUUCUCCUUAUGCAUCGCUCGCAUGGCAUAAACUUCUACCAGACUAAGACCUGCAACUCCAGCCAUUGCCAUUAAUUAAUUACCAAGGAUUGACGACGCACUGGACCUCUCUUGUUUCGAGUAUGAAGUAAAGUUGUCAGAGAAAUUUUGAUUUCAACGCGUUGAAGAUGGGAGUUCAACGCUUAGAAGAUCAUUAAUUUAUAGGCUUCUGCUUCCCUAACGUGUGAGUGAAUGUACCAUAAUUCUUUUCUGGUUGGCUUGUCGGGC
rnacentral:lncRNA from 1 species